rnacentral:rRNA from 1 species
UACGGAGGGGGCAAGCGUUGUUCGGAAUCAUUGGGCGUAAAGGGCGCGUAGGCGGCCGACCAAGUCGGGUGUGAAAUCCCUCGGCUCAACCGAGGAACUGCAUUCGAUACUGGUUGGCUAGAGUCCGGGAGGGGAUGGUGGAAUUCCCAGUGUAGCGGUGAAAUGCGUAGAUAUUGGGAAGAACACCGGUGGCGAAGGCGGCCAUCUGGACCGGCACUGACGCUGAGGCGCGAAAGCCAGGGGAGCGAAUGGG